GAUGAACGCUAGCGGCAGGCUUAAUACAUGCAAGUCGUGGGGCAGCAGGUCCCGCAGCAAUGCGGGAUGCUGGCGACCGGCAAACGGGUGCGGAACACGUACACAACCUUCCUUUAAGCGGGGGAUAGCCCAGGGAAACUUGGAUUAAUACCCCAUUAAAUAUAGAAGUGGCAUCACUUUUAUAUUAAAGCUCCGGCGCUUAAUGAUGGGUGUGCGGCUGAUUAGGUAGUUGGCGGGGUAACGGCCCACCAAGCCUACGAUCAGUAACUGGUGUGAGAGCACGACCAGUCACACGGGCACUGAGACACGGGCCCGACUCCUACGGGAGGCAGCAGUAAGGAAUAUUGGGCAAGGGACGCAAGUCUGACCCACCCAUGCCGCGUGGAGGAUGAAGGUCCUCUGGAUUGAAACUUCUUUUUAUCUGGGAAAAAAUUCAAGGUUACACUUUGGUUGACGGUACUAGAUGAAUAAGCACCGGCUAAUUCCGUGCCACAGCCGGGUAAUACGGAGGGUGCAGCGUUAUCCGAUUCCGGGUUAAAGGUGCUAGCGGCAGGAAU
rnacentral:rRNA from 1 species